UCGAGGAUACUAUUCAGAAUCAUUUGUUUAGUUAACCAGAAACGUCACAAUGCAGCAAUUGCAUUCCCACGAGGCUAGAAUGACGAGUUGUGGCAGCAAGCCAAAUGGAAGCCGAGAUGUUUCUUCAUCUCAUUGAUGACAGAUGUUCCCUUUGGAACAAGGCUUUGCUGUGUUCCGACUAGUC